rnacentral:lncRNA from 1 species
GGAGUCUUCUUCAUCCACCUGUGAGUCUCUAUGAUAUCCAAAUCAAGCUUUUAUCUUCUGAUUCCUCUUUUUCAUUUUAGGCACUCAUUUUUAUUUCUACACCCUUUUUUAUACAUUUGAGUUGUAUAACAUCAUUAGUUCCAUUUGCUUUCAAUAUGUUUAGUAUAGUUAUUAUUUGAGACAACAAAGAGAAAUAAAAAAAAAUUCAAAUAAUAUAAACUGAACAUCUUUAUGUGUAUAUUAGUGUUUGUGCAUUUUUUAAAGGGUAAUUAAGUAUGGGCCAUCAUGUGUUUCACCUUUAGUAAAAUCAGCUUUAUAGUUUUGUUAAAUAGACUCAUAUUUUGCGGUUUUGAUUUUAGUUAGAUUUUGAUUUUUUUUCUUUCAUUUUUAACUAUGUGUGUAGUUUUUUUUAUACUUUGGGUGAUCUUGGGACCAAGUGUACUGUUUUGGAAGACAAAAUUUAGUGGAGGAUGUAUUUUGUUGCCUAAAUAUUGAUGUCUGAUCCGUGUUUUUCCUGCAUUUUCUCUAU